UACGUAGGUGGCAAGCGUUGUCCGGGAUUAUUGGGCGUAAAGCGCGCGCAGGCGGUUCCUUAAGUCUGAUGUGAAAGCCCACGGCUCAACCGUGGAGGGUCAUUGGAAACUGGGGGACUUGAGUGCAGAAGAGGAGAGCGGAAUUCCACGUGUAGCGGUGAAAUGCGUAGAGAUGUGGAGGAACACCAGUGGCGAAGGCGGCUCUUGUCUGUAACUGACGCUGAGGCGCGAAAGCGUGGGGAGCAAACAGAUAG
rnacentral:rRNA from 1 species